AGGGCAGAUUUUUUCCAGUCACUGCUAGAAUACGUAGGAGUCCUUUACUCUGUCAGUGAGAAAUGGAAACAUUUUACGGAAUUGACACUGUCACUACAACAACAUUGGUUAAAUAAUUAGUCUCCCUUAUUUAGAUAAGGGUUCAUUGACUUGGUGGAUAUCAAACUGACAAGUCAUCCUGUUCAAUUUCAGUUUGUUAGUUCAUAUUAGAAAUUACUUUCAUCAUUCUCUCACUGCAUUCCGGUAUAUAUGCCUGGUGUUUCUGACAUCAGUUACACAACUGGAAAUCAUUUUUGAGUUUUUCUUUAUCUCCUCUACUGCAAUUCACAUAUUAAGGUUUACAUCAGUUUUUACUAUGUCUUUAUAAAUAAUAGUAUUGCUAGUUUGUACUUCAUCUGUCAGCAGAUCUCAUUGCAUUGUACAGGCAAUUAAAAAAGAUCUUCUUGCAAAGUUGUUACUUUUUGUUUUCCAGAAGAUGAUGUUGAGUGCAGAUAUUCCAAAACCUGGACAGAAGCUGUGCCCAGUGGGUUUUUGGAGAGUGCCUGGCCUUAUAUGCAUUUGGACCUAAACAAGGCUUCUUAUCAGAGUCUGGUAGCUUAAGCAGACAACAAAGUAACCAAAGAACCCCCAGAGAUGAUCAAGGAGACAUUUUCUAGGUGCUGUACCAACACAGAGGAAUGCUGAGCAACUUCCGUAUUACUUUGGAGCUCCAGAGACACAAGUGAUGAGGAAGAGUGUUACACAGCGAUUUCUCAAGGACAUGGCAGUAGAGAGGAGGUCAGAUGAGUGGAUCAUAGACAGGUGUGGAGAUGGAGUGCAGAAGGAAAAAAUC
rnacentral:lncRNA from 1 species